AUUGAACGCUGGCGGCAGGCCUAACACAUGCAAGUCGAGCGAGCGGCCGACGGGUGAGUAAUGCCUAGGAAUCUGCCUGGUAGUGGGGGAUAACGUCAGGAAACGGGCGCUAAUACCGCAUACCAUCAGAUGUGCCCAGAUGGGAUUAGCUGGUUGGGGAGGAAACGGCUCACCAAGUCGACUAUCCCUAGCUGGGCUGAGAGGAUGACCAGCCACACUGGAACUGAGACCCGGUCCAGACGCCUACGGGAGGCAGCAGUGGGGAAUAGUGCGCAGUGGGCGCAAGCCUGGUGCAGCCAUGCCGCGUGAAUAAGGUAGGUCUUCGGGUUGUAAAGUACUGUCAGCGGGGAGGCGUUACCAGCAGAAGAAGCACCGGCUAACUCCGUGCCAGCAGCCGCGGUAAUAC
rnacentral:rRNA from 1 species